rnacentral:rRNA from 1 species
CUGUGGCGGACUCAGAUCACGCCACAGCUGCGGGGCGCCGGCGUUUACCACUAUGUCGAUGGCACGUCGACCGAGCCGGCCAAAACCCACGUCACCAAAGAUGCCGCUGGGAAAGAAACCAAGGGGCCGAAUCCUCUCCAUCCGCUCUGGGUGAAGGAGGAUCAUCAGGUCCUUGGAUAUCUACUCCAACACCUAUCCAAGGAGGUGCUCGUCACGGUGACCGCGAUCACCACGACGCGCGAACUCUGGGUGGCGCUGGCGAGCAUGUUCUCGUCACAGUCACUCAGCCACGUCAACAACAUUCGCACGUCGCUGAUCAACGCGGAGAAGGGCAACCAAUCGGUGUCCUCCUUCUUCGCCGCCAUGAGGGGGCUCACUGAUGAACUCGCCGCGGCGGGAAAACCAAUCCAAGACGACGAGCUCAUAUCCUACAUCCUCCACGGGCUGGACCAAGACUAUCAGCCCCUCGUCUCCGCCUUGGACGCUCGCGUCACUCCGGUAACCCUUGAUGAGCUCUUCACUAUGCUUAGCAAUUUUAAUCAGCGUAUGGCGCAGUUUCACGGCUCCGGUGGCAGCUUCAAGUCCUCGGCCAACUCUGUCUCCAGAGGCCGCGGUGGCGGCUCUCGCUCUCGUUCCUCCCCUCGUGGCAAGGGAAGGUCCGGUGGCGGCGGCUACUCCAACAACACUCGCGGCGGCGGACGCUCUGGCAGCUCAAAAGGGCACCACAGUGGCGGCUCCAACAGAUCGCGUCCGGACUUCCCUCGCUGCCAAAUUUGUGGCAAGCCCGGCCACACGGCGAGGGAC